GAUGAGAGAGUAGGUUUGAGGUUUCCUUUGUUAUAGUUCACCCAGAGAUAGCAUAGACCUUUCUUUAACCUCUUAUUUCCAAAUAAUUUUAUUAUUGCUACUCUAAUUGUUCUUCCAUCUGCCUCCAAGGUGGAGCUGAUCUGUUUCUGGGUUGUUUGUUUGUUUGCUUGUUUUUUUUUUCUUUCCUGAGCAAGGGAUGUGCUUUCUUACAAAUCCUGUGGCAUGAUAUCAGAAAUCCCUCUUUGAAUUGUGCAUUAUUGUUAUAAGAGCUUGACAAUCAAGCCUUACGUGACAUCUUGCCUUGAUGACUGAGUAUUUUUCCUGUCAGUGUCAAUUUGAGUAAAAAGAGUGUGUGUGUGUGUGUACGUUUAAAAUGUAGUCACUUGUCAGAAAAAAACAAGGUCUUGUCACAAAGAUGAAAUGUUAAAGUUACUACUUUGUUUAAUGUUUUGCAAACGUCCAUAUUUUGUACCUUCCUUAUUUAUUAACAGCCUGAGUCAAGAGCAAGGCAACAUGCUUCUUAUGCCUUCCACUACUCUAAAUAAUCUUAGGUAGCGUACCAGUUUUCAGGAGAGGCAACCUCUUGGCAGCGCUGGCAAGAUGGAUUUUUUAAGUCUUUCUAGGACAAUGCAAACAGCUUGAAUGUCACCUGUGAAAGCAUGUAAGCCUCUGAAAACAAGUAUAGUCUGUUUUCCAAAGCAAGGAAAUAAGAUGAAGGGUAGUUUUUUUUCUGUCAGAGCCACUAUUUUAAAUCAGCCUUCAAAGGUAGCAUUAUGGAGAAUAAAUAACAGCAAUUAAAUCUGGAUGUAUGAAAUGCUUUGUUAACUGUUGGGAAGGCUGUGCCACUGAGGAAAGAAGAGAGGCUUGCAAUAGCUGUUUAAAAAUAGAAUCAGAGAUGUUAUUUCUGGACAGUUGCACUUACCUGUUCUCCUAGCACUGUCAUUGCCUGGCUGAUGGAAGAAUCAGUUGACUUCAUCCACAACACUAUGCUGGACUUUGGAAAAUGAAGCUUAGCAUUAUAUGACAAGAAGUUGAGCUGCUAUUUCAGUUGACUGGUCGGUGGGUAGAAGGAUCUAUGUGCAUAGAGAUAAGUAAGUUUUUCUGACCAAAUAAUUCAGCAUCAUUUUAAUUCCUAGGGUUAGCUUGUAAGUUGCCUUGUCAGUGUGGUUGAUUUCUUGAUUUCUCAAAAAACACUGUACACAAUGUAUUACUUUCAAUCCUUCUCCCUUAUACUCUUUUUAAUUACAAACUAUCACCCGUAACUUGGCCAUCUGGCAAAUGUUAUGUGAGUUUUGAUAUUUCUCUCCCCUUUUAUAACAUGGAUGGCAAUUGUUUCUGGUUUGCUACUCCUUAGCAGACAUUUCUAAAAUGAAAAUAGCUUUUUUUUUCCCCCCAUGGAAAAUAUGCAUAUUUUCAGAAUGAAGUCCAUUUUUUAUAUCCACAUAAAUUUGCCUCUUAUUGUGUUGCUACCCAUUAUGAAUAGUUCUGGGUAGAGUUCAGGCUCCAUAUUUCUACUUGCUUGAAUAAAUGAACUUUUCAAGAGGAUUUUUUUUCAGGUUUGAAAUGAAAAUGCUUUGGUUGGACCUAAAUUUUUAGUUGAUUUAAUCAACCUGGAAUAGCAUUUUGAAGGAAUUAGCUAGGUUACUUUUAGAACUCUAGCAAGUAGGAUAACUAGAAGAAUCAUUACAGAAAGCAGUAGUUCUCUCUUAAAAAUAUUUUGGACAAAAAGCACUGUUAUUUUUCUUAUUUCAUGUACGGCUCCAAGUCUGUAUGCUAAUUCUUCCUGUCCCCAUAAGGAAAUGCAAUGAGGAGGAUAUUUCCCUGGUUCUUCAACCCUGGAAGCACUUGUGCUCUAGAAGGACAUUGGAAGGGGAAUGCAAGGAGAUGCCCCAGUCUGUUAAAAUCUGAAGACCACCUGUAGUCAAUCGUUACCAACUUGGUGCUUAUUCUUUGGCCAAAGUCCUUGAAUUUUUGAAGAAGCUGAGUGCACCCUGAGGAGUUCUCAACUUAUGGCCCAUUUCAAUUCAUUUCUGCAGGAUGCUUCUACUAUCUUCAUGCUAGUCUUUGUCCAGUCUUUGUCCUGGGAAAUGCGAGGCAGGGGGACAGAGAGAGGUUGAUAAGCAGCAGAGAUAGAGAACCAAAGAAAGGAUCAGUGAGUUGGUGAAAGCUGCAUGACUCUGGAUUCUUUCCAGCCCUCCUCUGCACAGAUGCUUUUGUAAAACUCACUGUGGCUUCUGAAAGGAAGGUCGCUAUUCAUCCGGCCACUGAAGGAGAUCAUGCUAAUAGGCUGCAGGAUCACAAAGACACUCACCGCCUGCUGUCAUGAAUGCAAGUCAGGCUUUGUUUGUUACACUGAAUGCUUAUUU
ensembl:lncRNA